rnacentral:rRNA from 1 species
UCCUUAGAUGUCCUGGGCCGCACGCGCGCUACACUGAUGCAUGCAACGAGUUUCAUUUCUCCUGGGUCGAGAGGCCCGGGUAAUCUGUUGAACGUGCAUCGUGAUAGGGAUAGAUCAUUGCAAUUAUUGAUCUUGAACGAGGAAUUCCUAGUAAACGCGAGUCAUCAGCUCGCAUUGAUUACGUCCCUGCCCUUUGUACACACCGCCCGUCGCACCUACCGAUUGAGUGGUCCGGUGAGGCUUUGGGAUCUGAGCGGAAAGAGCGUUUCGCUGUUUCUGCUCGGAAAACUCAGUCGAACCUUAUCAUUUAGAGGAAGGAGAAGUCGUAACA